rnacentral:rRNA from 1 species
GGCGGACGGGUGAGUAAUGCCUGGGAAUAUGCCUUAGUGUGGGGGAUAACUAUUGGAAACGAUAGCUAAUACCGCAUAACGUCUUCGGACCAAAGAGGGGGACCUUCGGGCCUCUCGCGCUAAGAUUAGCCCAGGUGGGAUUAGCUAGUUGGUGGGGUAAAGGCCCACCAAGGCAACGAUCCCUAGCUGGUCUGAGAGGAUGAUCAGCCACACUGGAACUGAGACACGGUCCAGACUCCUACGGGAGGCAGCAGUGGGGAAUAUUGCACAAUGGGGGAAACCCUGAUGCAGCCAUGCCGCGUGUAUGAAGAAGGCCUUCGGGUUGUAAAGUACUUUCAGUCGUGAGGAAGGGUGCGUAGUUAAUAGCUGCAUGGCUUGACGUUAGCGACAGAAGAAGCACCGGCUAACUCCGUGCCAGCAGCCGCGGUAAUACGGAGGGUGCGAGCGUUAAUCGGAAUUACUGGGCGUAAAGCGCAUGCAGGCGGUCUGUUAAGCAAGAUGUGAAAGCCCGGGGCUCAACCUCGGAACCGCAUUUUGAACUGGCAGACUAGAGUCUUGUAGAGGGGGGUAGAAUUUCAGGUGUAGCGGUGAAAUGCGUAGAGAUCUGAAGGAAUACCGGUG